AUGGACAUACUUGCAGAGAUGAAGGAAAAUGAUCCAGAAUUCAACUAUACUGUCCAGGUUGAUGAUGAGAGCAGAAUAAAAACACUUAUGUGGUUUAAUGGGCGCAGUGUAGACCAGUACAGGUGUUUCGGAGAUGUUGUGACAUUCGAUACAACAUACAGGACAAAUCUAUAUGAUAUGCCAUUUGGGCUGUUUGUUGGAGUCAACAAUCACUUCCAAAGCAUUAUUUUUGGAGGUGUCAUGUUGCGGUAUGAAAAGGAGGAUACAUUCAAGUGGGUUUUCCGUGAAUUCAUCAGGAUGGUUGGCGGCAAACACCCGCAAACAAUUUUAACCGAUCAGGCGCGAUCAAUGGAAUUGGCUAUAGAAGCAUAA
rnacentral:rRNA from 1 species